CCUACGGGUGACAGCAGUGGGGAAUAUUGCACAAUGGGGGAAACCCUGAUGCAGCAACGCCGCGUGAGUGAAGAAGGAUUUCGGUAUGUAAAGCUCUAUUAGCAGGGAAGAAGAGUACGGUACCUGAGGAAGAAUCCCCGUGCAACUACGAGACCGCUGCCGCGUGUACACGGCGGGGGCCGGCGUUAUCCGGAUUAUCUGGGCGUAAAGGGAGCGUAUACGGUGUGACAAGUCUGAAGGGAAAUCCCGGGGGUCAAGCCCGGGCCUGCUUUGGAAACUGCGUGACUGGAGUGCUGGCGAGGCAAGCGGAAUUCUUAGUGUAGCGGUGAAAUGCGUAGAUAUUAGGAAGAACACCAGUGGCGAAGGCGGCUUGCUGGACAGUAACUGACGUUGAGGCUCGAAAGCGUGGGGAGCAAACAGGAUUAGAUACCCCUGUAGUC
rnacentral:rRNA from 1 species